GGUCUUGAGAAAAAUACUCUUGAUGCCUUUAAGAAGUUUAUUCAUAGUCAAAUAGAUGAGGUGUUAAUACCUUCUGAAGCUCCUAAAUCUAGCAGUGUUAAGAAAAGCCCUGAAAACAAAAGUAAAACAGCAAAGAAGAGUGGUGAAAACUCCAAUUCUAGCAGCAAACGUAAACGUAUAGCAGAAAAAGUAAAAUCAGGAAAGAAUUCUGCUGCAAAAGAAACAGUUGAGAAAUCUGAAGGACUGAAGAAACGGAAAAAACCUAAUUCAGAAGAUAAUGUCCCUGCAGAAAAUCAGAAAGAAGUUUCUAAGAAUCUGUCAGAUGAAGAUAGUGACGGAGACACUGAUAAGAGUGAUUCUGAAGAUGGUCAAUCUGGAUCGUCGGCUGAAAUAAUAUCUGACAAGGAGAAAGUUGUAAAGGGAGCAUCAGCUAAUACUGGAUACGGAAAACGUGUGGAACAUCUGAAAUCAAUCUUCAAAGCUUGUGGGAUGAGUGUUGCUCCUUUUCUUUAUAAGAGAGCCAAACAGGUAUCUGACGACAAACGUGAAGGCUUCCUGAUAAAGGAGUUAGAAAAGAUGCUUUCUGCAGAAGGACUAUCAUCGAACCCCACCGAAAAAGAAAUCAAAGAAGUCAAAAAGAGAAAGCAAACAGCAAAAGAAUUGGAAGGUAUUGACUUAAGCAACAUUGUUUCAAAUACACGAAGGAGAUCAACGACCAGCUUUGUGGAUCCUCCAAGACCCAAGUCACCACCUAAAAAUGAUAAGAAUGAUGACAAGGAUGGUGAUAGCGAUGCCGAUGAUGGAAGUGAUGAUGACAAAGACGAUGAUGACGAUGAAGAUGAUGAGAGCAGUCAGAGUGAUGAGGAGUUCAAUGGAGAUGAUGAUGAGGACAGUGAAUGAAGUUUUCUGGUGACUGAAGAUUAUAAUUUACAGAUCAGGGACGGUCUUUCCAAUGUAUCAAUAGUUUCAGUUUCUCAACUUAGAUUUGGGAGCUGAUGUUUAAUGUAUUUUAGAAGUAUAUUUACAAAGAGUUGUGAUAUUUAGCUUUGUUUAGAAGUAUUGAACUUAGCCAGUCAUGGAUAUUAGAUACCAUAUUUGUUAGUUAUCG
rnacentral:misc_RNA from 1 species